rnacentral:lncRNA from 1 species
UUGCAUUUAAGAAUGUGUUAAUUGUUUCUAACCAGUAGUUGUAAUUGUGUACCAUACAAUUGCACAAUUUUUAGUGACCGGUAUGUAACUUAUUUGUCAGGUUACUUUCACUUGCCUGUGUGUCGCUUUUUCAUCCGUUAGAUAAUAUCCAACGGUAGGUUUGGUAAAAACAAAAUUGGGGGAUUUGGAAUCACAGGUGCAAAGUAGCCGCCUUCUCACAAAGAAUAUGCAUGUUAUGUUUUCAAGUGCAAGUUACCUUCAGGGUCCAAAUUAAAACCAAUUUUGAAUAGAUAUUUAGAAAUAAAAAUUAGAAAUAUAAUUGAUGUAGAAUGUGACCUUUGUAUCUUUUUAGGGCUAUAACUUGAGUUACAAGUAGGGGUGGGCAUCGGUUUGGUUCGGUUUCGGAUUAGUUCGGAUCUAAAAUUUUAAAGAACCGUUCGGUUUUUUUGAAAAAAAAAAAUGAAUCAAAACCAAUAGGUCAGUUUUCGGUUUCGGAUCGGUUUCGGUUCUCUUAACGAUUUUAUUUAAGCAAUCAAUUUUUCGGUUCAUCUUAAAGGUUCGGUUUUCGGUUCGAUUUUUCAAAUCAUUUUCUAUUUCAACACCCUCCUCAAAAUCAUCCUUCAUAAUCUCCUCUACAACAUUGUUAUUUUCUUCCAUCCUGCACACAAAGCCUACUAUAAUCAAUGUAUAAUCAAACAAAAAAAAUGUUUUACAAAUUUGUAUUUUAAAAAAAAAAGCAAGAAUUGUGGACUAAAAUGAAGAAUUUACAAAAUUAUGGUUACUUUUUUUAAUAUCAAAAGUUUUGGCCCCAAACGUAAAUACAAUAAAAUAAGUAUUUGUGCUAUAGUAGAAACUAGCAAAAUAUUAAGGACUCAAAUGCUAUUUUAUCUAAUUGACCUUAGGUCAAGGACUAUUAUGCAAAGUUAGCAAACAAACUAAAUCAUAAUAGAAUUCUUAUAUGUAAACAUUUUCUAAAUAUUAGGUCAUACUAAAAUAUUAUUAAAAAAUAAGGGACCUAAAUGAUAAUUUCCCUCCAUCAUCUUCAACCUUUUCGUGGCUCCAUCAGACUUCACCCAGCAAUGUCCAGAGCAUAAUUUCCAAACGAAAAAAAUUGAAACAUACAGUAACAUGCUCAUAACUAGGCAAAACUAAUAAAACUAAAUGCUAUUAAUAACUUAAACAAACAUGAAAUAAGUGCAAAUUAAAGAGUUAUUUAAAAAAAAAAAAAGAAGAAGAAAAACAGAGCAAGUUACUCACAAACGAAAACAUACACAUUACCUGACUAUCUAGCUAGCAAUGGAAUAAGGAAAGAAACGAAGCAGUAGGUCGGCAGCAAGGAGAAGGCAGAUGCGAGUUAGGGCUUGGGUAAGUGGCUGUGCUGC